AGCAGCCGCGGUAAUUCCAGCUCCAAUAGCGUAUAUUAAAGUUGUUGCAGUUAAAAAGCUCGUAGUUGAAUUUCGGGAUCAAUUAAUUGGUCGUGCCUCUGGUACGUACUGAUUUUAUUGGUUUCUCCCUUCUGACGAACCAUGAUGUCAUUAAUUUGGUGUCGUGGAGAAUCAGGACUGUUACUUUGAAAAAAUUAGAGUGUUUAAAGCAAGCUAACGCUUGAAUACAUUAGCAUGGAAUAAUGAAAUAGGACGUUUGAUCCUAUUUUGUUGGUUUCUAGGAUCGACGUAAUGAUUAAUAGGGAUAGUUGGGGGCAUUAGUAUUCAAUUGUCAGAGGUGAAAUUCUUGGAUUUAUUGAAGACUAACUACUGCGAAAGCAUUUGCCAAGGAUGUUUUCAUUAAUCAAGAACGAAAGUUAGGGGAUCGAAGACGAUCAGAUACCGUCGUAGUCUUAACCAUAAACUAUGCCGACUAGGGAUCGGAUGAUGUUAAUUUUUAUGACUCAUUCGGCGCCUUAAC
rnacentral:rRNA from 1 species